GCGAUCCCGCCCGCGGGGCCGGGAGGGGGUGGGGGGUGCGGAGGGGGGGGGGGGGGAAGGCGGGCGGGGAGGCCCCGCUCUGCCGGGGCGCGCAGGUAACAAGUUUCGGAGUUGGGGCUGCCGAGGCCGGCCGGGCACCGGAGGCUCCCCCGCCGCUCCCCGCGGUGGCUCGGCGUCCCCGCCCGGGCCGGAGGGCGGCGGCGCGGCCGGGGCGGGGGCCGGGGGGGGGGCCCCCCGAGCCCGCUCCCCGCAGCGGCGGCGGGGCGGUCGCGGGGCGUGUGGGGGAAGGCAGCGUGUAACGGUCCCGGACAGGCGGCGGAGUGCGGAGGCACCGCUAGGCGGAGGAGGGAGGCAGGCGGCGAGGCGAGGGAGGCACCAGGUAGCGGAUAUAACGUGCUCGGCCGGAACCUUGUUGCCAGGGGAGACGGGCGCUUUACGGCAGGACGUUUGAACGGCGGCGGGGGAAAAGUUGCGGCCGCAGGUCUCACCGAGAAGCAAACAGCCGGACCGGAGCGACGCUGCUCCCAGCGUGUGGGAAAUCUGUCAUUCUGGGGCUUGCCUUAAUCAUACUUCCCGCUUUUACGAGGAGGAGAAGAGGUAUAAAAUUCUAUGCCCUAAAAAGUAAAAAGGGAAGGGAGCCGUUUUUCACAGAUAAUUGAUGAACAGCCUCAUUUGGGCUUAAUAAACGUAUUUAGUGUAUUAAAAAUUAAAAACAUUACCACUAUUUAUUUACUCUUGCUUUUCACGCUUCAGGCAAUAAAAUAGUUUGGUAACUUUCCAUUUGUUUCUAGGCUUUCUUCUUUCCUUUUUUUUUUUUGUCCUUAUCCUGGGAUGAUUCUGUAGAAUUUAUGGUUCUGUGCUUCCGGCGAAUUCUUUUAUUCAAGCAAAUUAAAUUUCAGUGAAAGCGUUUCUGUUAAUGGGAUACUUUUAAUAAGUAAUUGAUACACUACUGAAUUUGAGGCCUUUAGCUAUACAUUGUCUCCACCUGCUAUACGUUCACACGCUGUCACCUAUCGCCUCAUCUCAUGGAAGCGGCGUAACCUGUCUCUAGAAAACGAACUAUUGCACACUGGGAGUCUGUGGAAGGACCUUGCAUCUGAAGCUUCCCCAGAAGUCAGUACGAUCAGAAAUGCUUAGAAAAGAGAUAUAGGGCUAAAAUGGAUGCAGAGUUAGGUAAAGAUCUAGAGGGAUUUUUUCAAAAUUAAUUGUACUCUUAGAAUUGUACAUGAGUCAUGGAUUUGGGUACUCGCAAGAAAGCAGUUGUUGCCCUUCUUUACAGGUACAAAUCAUUUGUCUAAUAUCUCUCAAAAAAACUGGUAAAUUUAGGUGUAGUGUUUUUACGGAUGUAUCUUUACCCAGUGUGAAUUGGCUGCUGACUUCAACAAUUUAAUGAGGAUCUACCUGAGAGUCAUUAAAUAAGGGUAACAAAUCAAACAGUACAAAGUGUUUGAUGGACUAACAGAAGUCAUUUAAAAGCAUUAGAUUUGGCAUUAGCUGGGAGUACUGAACCCCAAACACAAGGGUAGCUAAGAACGCAACAUGAAACCAACUACAAGAUAAAAAUGAAACUUGUCAGCAAAAUUUCGAGUGAGUGAAUUGCAAGGGUUAAGGCAGAAUCUUGUUUUUCUCUGGCUUUAAUAGUUCCACAUCGUUGCUCAUCAAGUUUUUGUACAGAAGAUACCUGUGGCUCUGAAACUGCUUGCAAACGAGGGCUUAAGGUGUUUCAGAGUUCUUGGAUGUUUUUAUCAUUCUGUGGAUGAAUUUAACCAAAAUAUUAAUAUUAUUUUCAUGCUAAGUUUUUAGUUCCUUAAAAUGUGUCAUGUUUUACAAGGUAGUUGCAAAAAUAAAAAUAAUAACCUAUCUGUAAAUAUAUUUGUAGAUUUGUAAUAAUAUUCCCCUGCAUGCCCCCACAAAAUUCCAGGCCCCUCUUUAAGCGGCUUUCAAGUAGCUUGUUUUCAUUGAGUUUUGUCACUCUUUACCUCUGGAUAAGAAUUCUUGUCUCUUCAUUUUGAGCAAUUUAUGUUCCCUAACAGAAUGAGGAGGGAAACAGUCUCCUGGUGUUUGUUAUUGCUCAUUUUCAAAUAGCCAUAGUGUCUGUUUGAGCAUUAGUCUCUUGAGAUUUCCAAGCAGCUGGGAGAAACCGGUGACAACUCUUGCUGCCCAUUAGUUUCUGAAGAGCAGAACUGAAACUGGCAGGAGCAUUGGUAGCUCUAUGCUGCUAUAGUUUUGAUAAAUGAGAAGAGAAAACCAAAGCAAUCUUUGUAUAUGUUAUCUUUGAUACCACAGAGGUCUAGAAACUAAAAAAGGAGAGGAUAGCCUUGUGCGUCAAGUUAUCGAUUACCCCAAUGACUACUCAUUGUGGAAAGCAUCUCAUUCGCAACUUGUAAAUAGAUAUGUGGAUGGGUUGGUUUUUUGAUUUUUGUUUUUUAAAUUUUGAUAUAUUUAAUCAAAGCAACUGGGCAUUUCACAUCUUUGUAUACAAAGUUCCCAUUAUUUACUGUGCUAAAAAAGCAUCACAAUUAAGGAUGCGGCCACUGUCAAAGUGUUUUGACCUAAUACAUUCUUCUAAUUCUGGAUGCAAACCCACUAGUUAAAAUUCCUGCUAUCUUUGUAGUGUUCUGCAAUGUAAGAGCACAUUGUAUACGUAAUUUAAACUGCUUUGUGCUGCAAGAAUGAAAAAAUCCUGUUUUUCUUUAUGGUGCAUAGCUUUCGAUCUGACUUUUCAGUCAAGGAUGCAGGAGUUAAUUAAUGUACUAAUUUGCAAAAUCUCAGCAAAGCAGUAUAUAUUCUGCAUCCUCCUAAAUAUGGCAGGCUUGAGAAUAUGUUUCUUUAAAGGAGGAAUUCUAAGACAGUGGUCAUCCAUAACAAUUAGUUUGUCUCUAGUGGCACAGUUUGUGUGGGGAUUUAGGCAACCUAAAUAGGCAUAAUGUAGUUGAAAUGUCAGAUUGCAUAGCUGCUAUACUUCACCUUUUUUGAAAUUUAUUUCCAUUGUCUGAAGACAGGAAUUAAAAUACUUCAGCAGUCACACUGGAGUAUGGAUGCUCGAAAACCAGCUAAUGAUUAUUACAGACAAUUUUUGCCGUUUUAAAAAUAGUCAUGUAUUUUGUGUUACGGUUUAUGAUCUCUUGAGUAUGUAUUAUUAAAUAAAAGCAAUCAGU